UAUGGCCACAUCACGUUGAAACACAAGUUCCCGUCCGUUCACUGAAGUUAAGCAACCUCGAGCCUGGUCAGUAACUAGAUGAAUAGCCGCUUGGGAAUUCCAGGUCCUGUAAG